rnacentral:piRNA from 1 species
UNCCUGUUGCUGACUACAAGAGAUGAGAGUG